CAAAAUUAUUAUUAUAUAUGUAACUGCUACACUAUGAAAACCUGUCAAACUGUUUUUCUGACACUGAACUUGAAAGCUGACAUUUUCUCCUUUGAAAAUGAACAUGUGUAACAUCAACCUCGUUCCCAGUUGGUGUAACAUAACUUUUCAUGCAUGAUGACUGCAAUAUACCGUAAAAUUCUAAAAAUGUAUCUUUAAAUUUCUCUGGGUUUGAACAUUCAAGCAAUCUCACGCGGGACAGAAGUUGAUGAACGUGACCUUAGUUCUUACUCACCCAAAAGGAUCUCCAACAACAAGGAAAGCAACAUCAGAAUCUUUUGCUUGUGCUAACAUAACAUCUUAA